rnacentral:rRNA from 1 species
UACGUAGGGGGCAAGCGUUGUCCGGAUUUAUUGGGCGUAAAGAGCGUGUAGGCGGUUAGGUAGGUCCGUUGUGAAAACUCGAGGCUCAACCUCGAGACGCCGAUGGAAACCAUCUGACUAGAGUCCGGAAGAGGAGAGCGGAAUUCCUGGUGUAGCGGUGAAAUGCGCAGAUAAUCAGGAGGAACACCCGUGGCGAAGGCGGCUCUCUGGGACGGUACUGACGCUGAGACGCGAAAGCGUGGGGAGCGAA